GCCAGUGUGGCAUAACGGUUUGAGCAUUGGGACUGUGACUUGGAGACCAGGGUUCAAUUCCCAGCUUGGCCA